AUGAAACAGAAAGAGAUAACAAAUUUGAAAAACAGAAAGAAGGUACAAAAUAUCAGAGGAGAAGGAGCAUCAGAGAACAUCUCCAAAUUUUCGUCAGUUAAAUCCACGCCAUCUGAAUCUCUAACUAAUUCUCCAAAUCUAUUUCUCAGAACUAUUUCUCAUGUAACCAACUCUAACAGAGUCUAUAAAGGCACUCUCACCUAA